rnacentral:ncRNA from 1 species
UUAAAGAUAAUGAUAAGGAAGAGUACAUUAAGGGAACUUUUUAGAGAGCUGAAGACUGGUGAAACUUUGGUAAGGGAACUUUAUGGAAGCAGCCUUUGAAUCUCAUAUUGAGAAAUAAGAGUGUAUACUCUUAAAGUAGAUAAUGACGUUACCUUGCGUUAUAAAGGAUAGAAUGUAAUUAUACAUUCUUCUGAGUGAGCAAUUUUAUUGCUUAUUAGGGUGGUACCGCGAAGUAAAUCCUUCGUCCCUUUU